AUGCAGAUAGAUCAUUAUAAUGGUUGCCGGCUAUCAGUUUGGGUUCUUGAGAAUUAUGCUAGUGGCCAGUGGACCUUAAAGCACACUGCCAGCAUUCUGGAGCCGCUAGGAAGGCCUUGUCUAUCUCGACACUUUACCUUGGUUGCAAUCCAUCCAGAACGUAACCUGAUUUUCCUUAAUGGUUGGGUGGAAUCGAAGCAGGCACUUAUGUCGUAUGAUAUGGAUACCCAGAAGCUGCAAGUUAUCUGCACCCUUGAAAAUUACCCCAUGGAAAAUUUAAGACCUCAUGUUCCGUGUUUUGUUGAAUGGCCGCCGUCGGAUGCUCACUGA
rnacentral:rRNA from 1 species